UUUUAUGGUGGCCGUGCGCAGGGCGCCUUCGAGCGCGCCGGGUUCCUGGUUUCUCCGGUCGACUAACCUGCGUACGGCUGCCACCCAU
rnacentral:antisense_RNA from 1 species